AAUUAAUUGUUAAUUGUCAUUUAGUCAAAACAAUUGUUAGGAUUAAAUUAGGCUUGUUGGUUCACUUGGUUUUAAAUUAANUUAAUUAAUAGGUUGAGUUUAUGUGUUUGAGUUAGUGUUGCAUUUAAUUAUUUUUAACUGUGUUUGUUAAUUUGUUUGCAAGAGUAUUUGAUGUUGAAUGUUGUCUAAGGUUUUUAAUAGUGUUAGUUUAAUUACCAUGCUAGCUUAAAUUAGUUUGUUGCAUCUGUGUCUUUAUAUUGAGUUCUUUAAUUUUUGCAAAACCUUUUCAACCCCCCCCCUUUCCGUGUUAGAUUCAAUUCUUGAACUGCAAAAUUGGUCCUUGAGAGACGACCUAGGAGUCACUUCCUAGU
rnacentral:lncRNA from 1 species